rnacentral:tRNA from 1 species
GUCCCCAUAGUUCAAUGGAUAGAACCGCGGUUUCCUAAACCGUUAAUGUGAGUUCGAGUCUCACUGGGGGCACCA